UAUUGGCCAAUGGGCGCAAGCCUGACCCAGCAACGCCGCGUGAAGGAAGAAGGCUUUCGGGUUGUAAACUUCUUUUCUCAGGGACGAANCAAGCGACGGUACCGGAGGAAUAAGCCACGGCUAACUACGUGCGAGCAGCCGCGGUAAUACGCAGGUGGCAAGCGUUAUCCGGAUUUACUGGGUGUAAAGGGCGUGUAGGCGGGAAAGCAAGUCAGAUGUGAAAACCAUGGGCUCAACCUGUGGCCUGCAUUUGAAACUGUUUUUCUUGAGUACUGGAGAGGCAGACGGAAUUCCUAGUGUAGCGGUGAAAUGCGUAGAUAUUAGGAGGAACACCAGUGGCGAAGGCGGUCUGCUGGACAGCAACUGACGCUGAGGCGCGAAAGCGUGGGGAGCAAACA
rnacentral:rRNA from 1 species